AACGAACGCUGGCGGCGUGGUUUAGGCAUGCAAGUCGUACGAGGCUCUUUGAGAUUUAAACUUCGGUUUAAAUGUCAAAGAUGUCCUAGUGGCAAAAGGGUGAGUAAUGCGUGGGUAAUCAACCCUCAAAAUGCGAAUAACUCUGUGAAAACGGAGCUAAUACGCAACGAGACCACAACCUGAAACUUCAGGAUGAGGUUAAAAGUGGGGAUUUAGUAGUAAUUUUCGCGAGAAAGUUAAUACUGAACCUGCUGUUUGAGGACGAGCCCACGUCCUAUCAGCUAGUUGGUAGGGUAAUGGCCUACCAAGGCAUUUGACGGGUAGCUGGUCUGAGAGGAUGGUCAGCCACACUGGGACUGAGACACUGCCCAGACUCCUACGGGAGGCUGCAGUCGAGAAUCUUUAGCAAUGCCCGCAAGGGUGACUAUGCGACGUCGCGUGAGCGAUGAAGGCCUUCGGGUCGUAAAGCUCUGUCAAGCCGGAUGAAAGUUUAGCAUUUGAAUAAAGUGCCAAAUUGACAGUACGGCUAGAGGAAGUCACGGCUAACCCCGUGCCAGCAGCCGCGGUAAUACGGGGGUGACUAGCGUUGUUCGGAUUUACUGGGUGUAAAGAGUGCGUAGGUGGUCGGGCAAGUCAGGUGUGAAAUCCCACGGCUCAACCGUGGAAUUGCAUUUGAAACUGCUUGACUUGAGUGCAUGAGAGGAAAGGGGAAUUCUCGGUGUAAGGGUGAAAUCUGUAGAUAUCGAGAGGAACACCAGCGGCGAAGGCGCCUUUCUGGCAUGCAACUGACACUGAGGCACGAAAGCGUGGGGAGCGAACAGGAUUAGGUACCCUGGUAGUCCACGCCGUAAACGAUGGGUACUAGGUGUUUCUGUCUUUGACAGGAGUGCCGCAGCUAACGCAUUAAGUACCCCACCUGGGGAGUACGUCGGCAACGAUGAAACUCAAAGGAAUUGACGG
rnacentral:rRNA from 1 species